rnacentral:rRNA from 1 species
GACGAACGCUGGCGGCGUGCUUAACACAUGCAAGUCGAACGGACAGGCCCUGCUCUUGUGGGUUGCUCGAUUGGCGAACGGGUGUGUAACACGUGAGUAACCUGCCCUUGUCUUUGGGAUAACUCCACGAAACUGCGGCUAAUACCGGAUAGGAUCUCCUGAUGCACAUGGUGGGUUGGAAAGUUUCGGCGGUUGUGGCUGGACUCGAGGCUUAUCCGCUGCUUUGUGGGGUAGUGGCUUACCAAGGCUAUGACGGGUAGCCGGCCUGAGAGCGUGAACGGCGACAAUGGGACUGAGAUACGGAGCAGACGCGUACGGGCGGCAGCAGUCGAGAAUAUGGCGCAAUGGGGGGACGCCUGAUGCAGAAGCGUCGCGUGCGGGAUGAUGUCCUUCGGGUUGUAAACCACUUUCGACGGUGACGAAGCGUGAGUGACGGUAAUGGGUAAGGAAGCACCGGCUAACUACGUG